UGUGAUAUUGCUCCACUCUUCCCUUUCAUAUAAAUUUCAACCGCCUCAGCUAGAAACUUCCACUCGUUUCCCAUCCAGCACCAAAAACGUUAAUACCCUCUUUUUCCUUCCUCGAAAAGCCUCGAUCUUUUUUCUGCUUUCUGAAACUACGGUAGUGUGGUGAUAACAAAUUUUUUAAUAAUAAAAAUGUCACACUUUGGCAGAUUUGGACCUCCAGACAUCAGAGACACCUACUCGCUACUCGUCCUCAACAUUACAUUCCGAACUAGUGCAGAUGAUCUCUUUCCACUCUUUGAUCGAUAUGGGAAGGUCGUUGAUAUUUUCAUUCCAAGAGAUAAGAGGACUGGAGAGUCUCGUGGGUUUGCAUUUGUACGCUACAAAUAUGCAGAUGAGGCUCAAAAAGCUAUUGACAGGCUAGAUGGCAGGAAUGUGGAUGGAAGAAAUAUCAUGGUACAGUUUGCAAAAUAUGGGCCUAAUGCAGAAAAAAUUAACAGGGGAAGAAUUGCUGUGGAGAAUUCAAGGAGGGGCAGAUCUAGGAGUUUCAGUCCCUCAUUGUCUAGACGGAGGUAUGAUGAUGAUUACCGAGACAAGUAUUACAGGAGGUCUGAUGACUAUCGAGACAGGGAUUACAAAAGCGAUCAUUACAGAGAUAGAGAUUAUAGAAGACCAAGAUCAAGGAGUCGUGAUAGAUAUGAGGGUGAAAGACACCAUGAGAAGUCCAAGGGUUACCGUCAUUAUAGCUCCAGUCGCAGCCGAAGCAGAAGUCGUAGUAGGAGCAGAAUGAAUGAUACGGAGAAGCAAAGAUCAAGAAGUCGGUCUGUAGAAAGUCCACUUCCAGCCAGAAGUGCCUCUCCUUCGCCUCGGAGUGCUUCUCAAAGCCCACCAGCAAGGUCACCUGGGACUGCAAGAAGGUCUCCAGAAGCACAAAGCCGAUCUGCAGAUUCUCGUAGUCGAUCACCAGAAGCUCCAAGUCAGCAUGAAGAUUCUCGUGGUCAUUCACCACAUUCACCCCGUCGAGACGCAGAUUCUCGCAGUCGAUCACAAGACACAUUUUAGUCGUUCACCUCAGAAUGACUCUUAUUUUGAUUAAUACAUCCAUAAUCAUGUUGUUGGGCUUCCCUCUUGUGCAGGAUUAUUAAACGAAGCAUGUCAUCUCUUAUUCUUGCACUGGUGGAGUGAAUCUGUUGUUAAUUUAAAUCCCAAGGUUUCAUGUGCUGGUGCUGCUGGUUGAGAGCGUCACUCAGCUGCUGUGUUCCCUGUGAUGGUGCUCUGAUCCAUGUAUACCUGACCAUGACGAUGGUGUCGUAGCCGAUCCUUGUAUACCUGACCGUUGGUGAUGCUGUUGUAGGUUGAACAAAAUUUUAUCUGUUCACUUUGAUCCUGUUUUUAAAAUCUUGUGGUGCAGUCUUAUGAGGCAAAGGUUUCUUGAGGGAUGGGUUCCCUGUGAUGUUGGGAUGCAUAGCUUUUGCACGGUGUGAGAUGACAGUAACUCUUAGAUGUAGUGCUGCAUUUCUGUUGGAUUACUUGCUGGACAACAUUGCUGAGCAUGUAGUGACAAGGCUAGGAGUUUUAGAAAGAUUAUUAUACAAAAAAAAACAUUUAUAAUUGUUUUUGGCCUAUUAUGCAACUCUACUAUUGCGCGUUUUUAUUUUGCUUGGAUGGUGAAUACUUCGAACGUUGUGGAGGCUAUUUCAUGAAUAUUUGGUUUGCAGUCUCUCUUUUAUUAGCUCUUUCUAAUGGAAUAGAGUCCCUGUGCAGGAAAAUUCAGAAGUCUAGAUCAGGCCUCUCUGUCUUUUAAAUUAUUCUAGCAGAUUGUGGAUAAUUUAAUUUAUGUUGUCCUUUUGGAUGAAUGCUGGACUGAUGUUUAGCAACCUUUA